UUUUGUUGUAAGGGCUGUCCUGUGAAGUGUAGGAUACUUAGCAGCAUUUUUGGCCUUUACCCAUUAGAUGCCAAUAAGACCCUCUCAGUUGAGACAACAGAAAAUGUCUCCAGACAUUACCAAAUGUUCCUUGGGCGGAGGGGUGGUAUCACCCCAGUUGGGACCCAGUGCUCCAGAAAAGAGAGAAAAAAUAAACACCUGUUUUAGUUUUCAUCACAGCCAAAUCUAAGUAGAAGUCAUAGUCUCUGAACCAAAGCAGUUAACUAUUUUUCACGGAUAUAGGUACAAUUCUGCUUCUUUGAAACAGUUUAGUUGGUGCUGAAAGCUGGGAAUACAGUGGGGAUGGUGAGACAUUUGUGCCCCAGGAGAAGAUAUGGCUGUUCUCGUAGGGAGAAAUUUUCUGCUAGUAUUCCAGGGCAUAAGCCAAGUAAGACUAUUCAUUGAAACAUAAAGAGGGAGAGGAGGGGAAUGGUCCAGCUGAAAUAUUUCCAGGGUGUAACUAACGACACAUUUUUCUCUUUUGUAGUAUGCUAUAUAAUAACCACGGGUGGCACUGCUGUUUCUGAUUCUAAAACACCUUGGAAACUUUCUUGACAUCUGCAGCACUCUGCUACUCAAAAGGGUGCAUUGGGGGAGCAUACAAGGCAAAAGAUAGGCAUUGGUACCUAUUAAAUAAGAGCUAGGAGAAAAGGAAUUACAGUCAAAACCCUCUUAAGACAUUUUCAAAGGAGCAGCCAUUAAAACUUCUAAACCAGGAAAUCAUCCUUGGAGAGAAAUGGAAAAUCACAGCCUAAAGCCCCAUCAGUCACUGCAUCCAUCUUCACAUCCAGGACCUCCAGGUGAUGCUCAGACAUCCAGUCAGGAUGUGGUGAUCGAAGAACAAUAAAGGCAAAUUAUCUACACCCCAUCUCCACUUAAUAGAACAUGGAGGAGCAAGGACAAGUUAAUUGGAAUAUACUUUCUGUCAUAGUCUGGCUCCCCAGGAAGCAGACUUUGAGACAGAAUUUACCAUGCAGGAGGUUUGUCAGGAAGGGCCCUUCCUGUGGAAGUAAAGGGAAGAAAGCAGUCUCAACACAGUCCUCAGCCAACGCCAUGAUGAAGCUGGGGAGCCUUUCAGAAUUGCCCCAAGGUAGGGCGAGGAGGCUGGACCUUUAUACCUGAGGUUGACCCGUUAUUGAAUUUGGAUACUCUGGAAAGGGGCAUGACCUUGGACAAAGUGUGAAGCAACUCUCUUGGGCUGAGACAGUUAUUAAAAAGUAUUGUCUGAAGGCUGCAUUCAGCAUUCCCAAGAGCUGGGGAAUUAAAUUCUUCAGUCCUGUAGUGGAAUCCAGAAGGUGCAUCACAGUGACUGCUACAAAUUGCUGUUUAGGAAAGGGUGUGACACCACAGUAAUUGGUCUGUAACAGCACUGGGAAUUCUGGAAGUUUCUUUUCCCUAUAGGAGGAGAAGUUAUUCGAUGAGGUCUCUUGGAGGAACUUCUUUCCAUUUUUCUCCAUGGUUCUGCCCUUUGGGGAAGUUUUCCUUGUUUAUUAUCUUCUAUGUGUGUAUCUGAAGUGGGUGGUGUGGAGACUUCCCUCCUUGGGGCUGUGUACGUUUUGAAGACAUCUUCCUGUUCCUAAAAUGUUGGGGGGACCAGAGGGGUUAUUUUAAAUCUUGAGCGGUCAGGUACUUUUAAAAUCUAGGCGAACAGUUUCUUUGACAAUGCAGUUCCUUAAAAAUUUAAUAAACCUCUGAUCUAUUUGUUUCCAAUCGGU
rnacentral:lncRNA from 1 species